rnacentral:tRNA from 1 species
GCGAGGGUAGCCAAGCCAGGUCAGGCGACAGACUCAAGAUCUGUUCCGUAGAGGUUCAGGGGUUCAAAUCCCUUCCCUCGCACCA